rnacentral:rRNA from 1 species
AUUGAACGCUGGCGGCAGGCCUAACACAUGCAAGUCGAGCGGAGCGGCGGACGGGUGAGUAAUGCCUAGGAAUCUGCCUGGUAGUGGGGUAUAACGUCCGGAAACGGGCGCUACUACCGCAUAAUAGAAAGUGAGCCUAGGGGGGCGUAGCUAGUUGGUGGGGUAAAGGCCUACCAAGGCGACGAUCCGUAACCGGUCUGAGAGGAUGAUCAGUCACACUGGAACUGAGACACGGUCCAGACUCCUACGGGAGGCAGCAGUGGGGAAUAUUGGACAAUGGGCGAAAGCCUGAUCCAGCCAUGCCGCGUGUGUGAAGAAGGUCUUCGGAUUGUAAAGCUCUUUAAGUUGGGAAGCGGUACCAACAGAAUAAGCACCGGCUAACUUCGUGCCAGCAGCCGCGGUAAUUC